rnacentral:rRNA from 1 species
AUAUAAGUAAGUGGUGGAAGAAAAAAUAAACAUGAUUCUUUUAGUAAUGGCGAAUGAACAAAGACAUGGUCAUUUUGAAAAUUGUGGUCUUAGAUCAUGAAUUGUAUUUUCAAAAUGCAUUGCUAACACAACUGCACAUGUUUGUUUAUUGGAAAGAACAUCACAAAGGGUGACAAUCCCAUGUGUCAUGUGUAUGUUUUGUGUACAGCGUGCAUUAUAUGAAUCACAUUCAUUGACAAUUGAAUGCAAAUAGAAUGGUAAAUUUCAUUUAAUCAUAAAUAUGUUGUUGACAACUUAUAGCAAACAAAUACCAUGAGGGAAAUGUGAAAAGGAUUUUGAAAAGAAAAUUAAAAGAGCUUGCAAUUGCUGAACUGAUAAGCAAACAAAACAUACGUGUGUAUGCAAGAUUGUUGUAAUGCUUAGCAUCCUAUGCAAGGCUAUUGCAAUGAUUUUUUGUAUAGUGAUGCUACCUUUUUUUAGAAUUUGGAAUGUCUUUUUUUGAGUGUGAAUGGAAUUUUGUUUGUUAGCAAAGGAAUGCACUUUUAGAUUCAUUGUUUGAUUUGAUUUAAAAAUGUUUGUGACACAUGUCUUUGUUUUAGUUUCAUGCUUCAACCAAGGACAUUGUGUUUGAUCCAUAUCAGCAAUACAUGUUUUGUUUGACCCGUCUUGAAACACGGACCAAGGAGUUUAAUUUAUGUGCAAGAUCAUGAAACUGACAUUUGUAUAUCAAUGAAAAUAUUUUGUUGGGAUUUGUGCACCAACAACUGAUAAGUUGUGUGACGCGACGUUGAGUUUGAGCAUGUUGAUUAAAACCCGAAAGAUGGUGAACUAUGCCUGAACAGAAUGAAGUCAGAGGAAACUCUGAUGGAAGUUCGUAUCGAUCU